GGAGCUGUAGCUCAGUGGUAGAGCACAUGUCUAGAAUGUAUGAAGCACCUGGUUUGACUCUCAGCACCA
rfam:Ictidomys tridecemlineatus contig059259, whole genome shotgun sequence.